rnacentral:rRNA from 1 species
GACGAACGCUGGCGGCGUGCUUAACACAUGCAAGUCGAACGAUGAAGCCGGAGCUUGCUCUGGUGAAUUAGUGGCGAACGGGUGAGUAACACGUGAGUAACCUGCCCUUGACUCUGGGAUAACUGCUAGAAAUGGUAGCUAAUACCGGAUACGACCCUCGGAGGCAUCUCCAGGGGGUGGAAAGAAUUUAGGUCAAGGAUGGACUCGCGGCCUAUCAGCUAGUUGGUCAGGUAACGGCCCAACAAGGCGACGACGGGUAGCCGGCCAGACAGGGUGACCGGCCACACUGGGACUGAGACACGGCACAGACUCCUACGGGAGGCAGCAGUGGGGAAUAUUGCACAAUGGGCGCAAGCCUGAUGCAGCAUCGCCGCGUGAGGGAUGACGGCCUUCGGGUUGUAAACCUCUUUUAGCAGGGAAGAAGCGAAAGUGACGGUACCUGCAGAAAAAGCACCGGCUAACUACGUGCCAGCAGCCGCAGUAA